rnacentral:misc_RNA from 1 species
AACCAUAGAAACCUGCGGAGUACCUGCGGAGGGAUCAUUACCGGGUUUACAACUCCCAAACCCCUGUGAACAUACCACUUGUUGCCUCGGCGGAUCAGCCCGCUCCCGGUAAAACGGGACGGCCCGCCAGAGGACCCCUAAACUCUGUUUCUAUAUGUAACUUCUGAGUAAAACCAUAAAUAAAUCAAAACUUUCAACAACGGAUCU